GGGGAAUAUUGCGCAAUGGGGGGAACCCUGACGCAGCAACGCCGCGUGAAGGAAGAAGGUCUUCGGAUUGUAAACUUCUUUGAUGAGGGACGAAGUAAGUGACGGUACCUCAAAAACAAGCCACGGCUAACUACGUGCCAGCAGCCGCGGUAAUACGUAGGUGGCGAGCGUUGUCCGGAAUUACUGGGUGUAAAGGGCGUGUAGGCGGGGAUGCAAGUCAGAUGUGAAAUACCGAGGCUUAACCUCGGGGCUGCAUCUGAAACUGUGUUUCUUGAGUGUCGGAGAGGAAAGCGGAAUUCCUGGUGUAGCGGUGAAAUGCGUAGAGAUCAGGAGGAACACCGGUGGCGAAGGCGGCUUUCUGGACGACAACUGACGCUGAGGCGCGAAAGCGUGGGGAGCAAAC
rnacentral:rRNA from 1 species